rnacentral:tRNA from 1 species
GGAGACGUCGCAUAGCCCGGUCGAGUGCGCCUCACUGCUAAUGAGGUAAGGGGAUUAAACCCCUUCGGAGGUUCAAAUCCUCUCGUCUCCG